rnacentral:SRP_RNA from 1 species
GCCCGGCGUGGUGGCACGUGCCUAUAGUCCCAGCUACUAGGGAGGCUGAGGCUGGAGGAUCUCUUGAGCCCAGGAGUUCUGGGCUGUAGUGCGCUAUGCCAAUCGGGUGUCCACACUAAGUUCAGCAUCAAUAUGGUGACCUCCCGGGAGUGGGUGACCACUAGGUUGCCUAAGGAGGAGUGAACCGGCCCAGGUCAGAAACGGAGCAGGUCAAAAUUCCCAUGCUGAUCAGUAGUGGGAUGGUGCCUGUGAAUAGCCACUGCACUCCAGCCUGGGCAACACAGCGAGACCCCGUCUCU